AUAAACACAAUGAACAGAAAGAAGUAGCAAAAUCAGCACCUUUAGAGAGACUGUGGUUGGUGAAAACAGUUGGUGACGAUUUUGUGAAAUGCAUCUGGAAGUGGUUUGGGCGAAAUAGAGGUAGCUCAAAACGAUUGGCGUCGUUACACGCUUAGAGGCAGCUGUAAAAAUGGAUAGCUGUAAAAAAAAGUGGAACCACGCAGGAAAAGUGCGUCUUUUAG
rnacentral:ncRNA from 1 species